rnacentral:rRNA from 1 species
GAUGAACGCUGGCGGCGUGCUUAACACAUGCAAGUCGAACGGAAAGGCCAGUCUUUGCCCUGGUAUUCGCGUGGCGCACGGGAGUGUAACACGUGGGUGUUCUGCCUUGCACUUCGGGAUAAGCCUGGGAAACUGGGUCUAAUACCGGCUAGGACAAUGGUUUGGAGGCCGUUGUGGGAAGCUUUUUCGGUGAGGGAGGUGGUCGCGGCGUUAAAGGUUGUUGGGGGGGUAGUGGUCUACAAGGGCGUAGACGUGUAGCGGGCCUGAGAGGGGGUAGGGCCGGAUUGGACCUGUGAUGCGGGCCAGAGUGGGGCGGGUGGGAGAAGUGGGGAAUAUUGGACACUGGGAGCAAGCCUGAUGCAGCGACGCCGCGUGAGGGAUGACGGCCUUCGGGUUGUAAGCACCUUACGCUGGGGACGAAGCGUAUUUGUGACGGUACCUGGAGAAGAAGCACCGGCUAACUACGUG